rfam:Rhinocladiella mackenziei CBS 650.93 unplaced genomic scaffold supercont1.9, whole genome shotgun sequence.
AGUUCCUUAGUGUAGUGGUUUAUCACAUCUCCUUUACAAGCUAUCCGGAGAAGGUCAUGGGUUCGAUCCCCAUAGGAACUA